rnacentral:rRNA from 1 species
GAUGAACGCUAGCGGCAGGCUUAAUACAUGCAAGUCGAGGGGCAGCAUGAUUGUAGCAAUACAAUUGAUGGCGACCGGCAAACGGGUGCGGAACACGUACACAACCUUCCAACAAGUGGGGGACAGCCCGGAGAAAUUUGGAUUACUACCCCGUAACAUAGCGAUGUGGCAUCACAUUGCUAGUAUAUAUUUUUCGCUUGUGGAUGGUUGUGCGGCUGAUUAGAUAGUUGGCGGGGUAACGGCCACCAAGUCUACGAUCAGUAGCUGAUGUGAGAGCAUGAUCAGCCACGCGGGCACUGAGACACGGGCCCGACUCCUACGGGAGGCAGCAGUAAGGAAUAUUGGACAAUGGACGCAAGUCUGAUCCAGCCAUGCCGCGUGAAGGAUUAAGGUCCUCUGGAUUGUAAACUUCUUUUAUGAGGGACAAAAAAAGGCUUUUCUAAGUCGUCUGACGGUACCUUAUGAAUAAGCACCGGCUAACUCCGUGCCAGCCGCCGCAGUAAGAC